GAACAUGAAUAAUAUACAUUUUUGUGAAUGAUAAAGUCUUUGAAAUAUAGAGAUAAGUCCAUGAGUUAUGUUAGACUAUGUUUGGAAGGUAAACUGUGACUAAAAGAUAGAGAUUGGGAUACAAAGAAUGAAAAGCAGAGGCUAAAUUAUAUUUCUGUAUUGUGUUUGGUGUUAAGUGUACAAGAUUGAGUCAUGUCUCAGUAUCCUGUUUGAUUUAGGAUAAAUAUAGAGAUUGAAAUAAGUAAAAUUACUUAAAUAUCCUUGUUAAAUAAAAAAUAAAAACAAAAUAAACCUUAAUCCCUCUUCUCCCCCAUACCACCAUUCCUAAUUUUAUCGGCACCACUGGUCACCACCAUCAUCGUUAUCAUCUAAUUGAGAAAGAAGAGGUUCUUUGUCAUUGACUCAGACGGAAAGAAAAUUAAGGACUUAGAGAGCUUGCUGAGGAUCACACGAGCGCUGGAGGAGGCCAUUGGUGCCGACAACAAUGGUGUCGGUGUCGGGAUGACUACAGUGGUGGCCAAGUCGGUGGUGAAAAUAGUUGUAAUGAGGAGGCUUGAGUUUGUGGAAUGGCUUGGGAGCAUCGAGGUACAGUAUCCUAAAUCAAGUUAAACACACAUCUCAGGUACAUUGUAUCUUGGAUAUUAAACAACGCGGUGAAACACAAUUCAGGUGCUACUAGGAUACACACAAAACACGUUAAUCGGGUAUUAUGUACCUGAGAUUCACUCGUAAUGGAAAAGUGGGCAUAGUAUCCGAGAUUUGUUGAAACGCUAUAAAAAGUGUGUAGAUGAGAUCCUUGUAUUCAUUAUAACUUUUUCAGGUUUGGAUAGUUUGAAAAGCAUACAUGGCUGGACGAGGGGUUUCGUCCGAUCAAAAAACAUUAACAGGUUGAAUGCAACCUGACAUGUGUCCACUGAUGAACUUUGAGUCACCUCGGUUGCUCUUGGCACGUCGUGUGACUUUAGGGCUCCCGCUGUCUGACAUGCUACUACCUUAUAUCAGGGAGGCUGGGUUCGGACAUGUAGUAGAGCUAAAGGAUUUCAUCUUCGACAAUACCUUACUCUCUGCAUUUGUGGAGCCGUGGAGACUAGAGACCCAUAUUUUCUACCUUCUGUAGGGCGAGGUCAAUAUCAUACUUUAGGAUGUGGCAUACCAUCUUGGAUUGCACACAGAUGGUGACCUGAUAGGCAACUACACUAGAGAUUUCCAGUAGUUCCAUGGGCAUCCCACAUGGCAGUGGAUUGAGGAUUUGCUCAGUGAUAGACCUCCAUCACAACUCGAAGACAAGAAGCAGAAUUUUGGGCUAAAAAUGACUUGGCUUAGGAACAGGGUGACCCACAUUCCACCAGGGGUUGAUGCAGCUACUCUCGGCCAGUAUGCAAGAUGUUACUUACUUAUGUUGAUUGGAGGAUACUUAUUUACAGACAAGUCAGCCAACCUUGUCCCUGUCAGAUGGAUGUCACUUUCUGGAGGACUUUAAUAGUUGCAAAAGAUUGUCAUGGGGCUCUGCAUUGCUAUAGCACACCUAUCAUUCAUUGUGCAGCGCUGUCCAACAUAAUAUGACGGACAUUGUCGAGUGCGUGCCGUUAGUCAUGUCGUGGAUCUACCAUAGUUUCCCGACUUUCUGUCCUGCCGGAUACGAUAUGCUCAUAUUUCUUCUUACUUCAAGGUUGGCGGGACUUGGACAGCAGAGUCGGGACCACCAUCGUGAUAGAGGUCUUAGCUUGCGGUGCAGUCUGGAUGCACUCAGGUUUGACGAGUUCCAGUGGACACCGUAUAAAGAUCCCCAGCUACACAGACGACACCUGAAUGUAUUAGGAGCAUUGAAGAGAUUCGUACAUAGAGAUCCGUGGUGCCGUUAGUGUGCUUUCACUUUGUAGAGUUCCAUUAUAUGGACAAGGUAAAGAGACAGCUUGGUGGUCAUUAGCAUUGGCAAGAGGGCCUGGUCAAUGUGGAUAAGUUCUUGUUCAUGACGACCUGGGGUGAUGAUGUGUGGUGGCCUAAAAAACACGGUGCUUGGUAUGAUAUGUGGAGGGACCGUGGCCACCAACAUAGGAUGGUCACCAUUGAGGGUGACCCAGAUCCUCAGCUCAUACAGGACUAUUUAUUAUGGUGGCAGGAAGUGUGUACUGUUCAUUUUUUCUCUGGGGAUGAGGUAUUGGUUGAGCUGAGGGAUGCGGCCCCAUCGGCGAACAUUCCCUCGGUGGCCCUAAAUCAUCGGGAUGUGUUAUACCUUCCACCGGAUGCUCCAGAUCAUAGGCGAUGUUCUAGGAAACACGUUAUAGAUUAUAUCUAUAGGCCAAUCUGGAAGGCCUGGGCUCAUGAAGGAUGCCAGCACAACAAGAUGUGCAUUUGGCAGAUGAGGAGGCAGAGUAUGCAUGCCAGGAGGAGAUCUCAGAGGUCCUUCCAGUUACUACCCAGGAGGAUGUCCCAUCACCCACAUUCAUUGCUGGGCAUUAGGCGGCUAUUGCUAGGGACUUCAUGCCAGGUACAUCCUCAGUAGCACAAUAGCAUGAUCCAUUGUUCACAGUAGGACAGAAAGGUGAUGGCACCGAUAUGUUGGAUCAGAUUAACUUCGACAUGAACACACUGAUAAACCCCAAUUUUGUGGUUUAUCUUAUACUAAUUUGAGUGGUUUUCUCAACAUAUCUCACACUUAUUCACUGAUUUUUGCUUGUUUUUGUGAUUCCUUUGUAGUUGAGCUUGAACGAUAAAAUUAUGUUAUUUGAAGCUUUAAUUGGUUGAUUUUAUUUCACUAUUUCAUCCCAUUGGUGCCUUGAUAGGUGUGUUCAAAUAUUUCAGGUUAUAUAGGGUAGGAAUGGAAAGUGAAGAGGAUAGCAUACUAGAGUAAGGAAUUAUGAAGAAAAUUGGAGCCUCAAAUUUCUGCUAUCUCGCGUACACAAGCACUCUAGCUACGUACGCAACCUUGUUUCGUGCGCCCUCGCGUACGCGAGUAUAUUGGUCGCAUACGCGAGCUGAUGAAAACGUGCCUCAUUAAUGAGAGCAUGUGACUCACGAUCUCAGAGGGUUUUGGACCCCUUUCCAAGCCCAAUUUGGUGCCAAUUGAAGAGAAAAUGAUAGGGGAUCAUCCAAGGGAGAAGACACAACAAUCACAAUAGAGAAUUUUGUUCUUUGUUUCCUAAAGAGAGAAACACUUACUUCUCUCUAGGGUUUAGUUUAUUUUGAUCAUCUUUUGUUUGAAUUUCUGGAUUGGAGCUUAUUAAUUCUAGUUCGAUUGUCUUAAUUUUAAUUUCCUUAGUUCUAAUUCUACUUAGUUCCUUUGUUAGUGCUAUGUUCUUCUCUUCUCCUUAGUUUUUUUAUUUCUCAUUUUGUGAACCUUGGCAAUUUUGAAUUCAAU